rnacentral:rRNA from 1 species
AAUAGAUACCCCGGUAGUCCAUGCCGUAAACGUUGGGCACUAGGUGUGGGGCUCAUUCCACGAGUUCCGUGCCGCAGCAAACGCAUUAAGUGCCCCGCCUGGGGAGUACGGCCGCAAGGCUAAAACUCAAAGGAAUUGACGGGGGCCCGCACAAGCGGCGGAGCAUGCGGAUUAAUUCGAUGCAACGCGAAGAACCUUACCAAGGCUUGACAUACACGGGAAGCCACCAGAGAUGGUGGUCUCUUUGGACACUCGUGCACAGGUGGUGCAUGGUUGUCGUCAGCUCGUGUCGUGAGAUGUUGGGUUAAGUCCCGCAACGAGCGCAACCCUCGUCCCAUGUUGCCAGCGGGUUAUGCCGGGGACUCAUGGGAGACUGCCGGGGUCAACUCGGAGGAAGGUGGGGAUGACGUCAAAUCAUCAUGCCCCUUAUGUCUUGGGCUUCACGCAUGCUACAAUGGCCGGUACAAAGGGCUGCGAUGCCGUAAGGUGGAGCGAAUCCCAAAAGCCGGUCUCAGUUCGGAUUGGGU